AGAGUUUGAUCCUGGCUCAGGAUGAACGCUAGCGGCAGGCCUAACACAUGCAAGUCGAGGGGCAGCGGAUGGGAUAGCAAUAUUUCAUGCCGGCGACCGGCGCAAGGGUGCGUAACGCGUGAGCAACUUGCCCGUAUCAGGGGGAUAACCGGAGGAAACUUUGACUAAUAUCCCAUAGUAUUCCGGACUGGCAUCAGUUUGGGAUUAAAGUUACGACGGAUACGGAUAGGCUCGCGUGACAUUAGCCAGUAGGUGAGGUAACGGCUCACCUAAGCUACGAUGUCUAGGGGUUCUGAGAGGAAGGUCCCCCACACUGGAACUGAGACACGGUCCAGACUCCUACGGGAGGCAGCAGUGAGGAAUAUUGG
rnacentral:rRNA from 1 species